rnacentral:rRNA from 1 species
CUUACUACUUGGAUAACCGUGGUAAUUCUAGAGCUAAUACAUGCUGAAAAUCCCGACUUCGGAAGGGAUGUGUUUAUUAGAUAAAAAACCAAUGCCCUUCGGGGCUUUUUGGUGAUUCAUGAUAACUUUACGGAUCGCAUAGCCUUGCGCUGGCGACGGUUCAUUCAAAUUUCUGCCCUAUCAACUUUCGAUGGUAAGGUAUUGGCUUACCAUGGUUUCAACGGGUAACGGGGAAUUAGGGUUCGAUUCCGGAGAGGGAGCCUGAGAAACGGCUACCACAUCCAAGGAAGGCAGCAGGCGCGCAAAUUACCCAAUCCCGACACGGGGAGGUAGUGACAAUAAAUACUGAUACAGGGCUCUUUUGGGUCUUGUAAUUGGAAUGAGUACAAUUUAAACCUCUUAACGAGGAACAAUUGGAGGGCAAGUCUGGUGCCAGCAGCCGCGGUAAUUCCAGCUCCAAUAGCGUAUAUUAAAGUUGUUGCAGUUAAAAAGCUCGUAGUUGAAACUUGGGCCUGGCUGGCGGGUCCGCCUCACCGCGUGCACUCGUCCGGCCGGGCCUUCCUUCUGAAGAACCUCAUGCCCUUCACUGGGCGUGCUGGGGAAUCAGGACUUUUACUUUGAAAAAAUUAGAGUGUUCAAAGCAGGCCUUUGCUCGAAUACGUUAGCAUGGAAUAAUAAAAUAGGGCGUGCGUUUCUAUUUUGUUGGUUUCUAGAGACGCCGCAAUGAUUAACAGGAACAGUCGGGGGCAUCAGUAUUCCGUUGUCAGAGGUGAAAUUCUUGGAUUUACGGAAGACUAACUACUGCGAAAGCAUUUGCCAAGGAUGUUUUCAUUAAUCAGUGAACGAAAGUUAGGGGAUCGAAGACGAUCAGAUACCGUCGUAGUCUUAACCGUAAACUAUGCCGACUAGGGAUCGGGCGAUGUUCUUUUUCUGACUCGCUCGGCACCUUACGAGAAAUCAAAGUUUUUGGGUUCUGGGGGGAUUAUGGUCGCAAGGCUGAAACUUAAAGAAAUUGACGGAAGGUCACCACCAGGCGUGGAGCCUGCGGCUUAAUUUGACUCAACACGGGGAAACUCACCAGGUCCAGAUGAAAUAAGGAUUGACAGAUUGAGAGCUCUUUCCUUGAUUUUUCAGGUGGUGGUGCAUGGCCGUUCUUAGUUCGUGGGGUGACUUGUCUGCUUAAUUGCGAUAACGAGCGAGACCUUACUCUGCUUUUUAGCCCGGCUAACUUUGGUUGGUCGCCGGCUUCUUAGAGAGACUAUCACCUCAACUUGAUGUAAUUUUC